UGCCGUAUGUAUUUGCAAUUAAAUUAUUAAUGUUUUGUUUACUCGUAUUUGAAUUAAAACUCUACGUUCAAAGUAAACAGAAAAAACUUUAAGGCUUAUGGAUAAAACUCAAAACCUGCUUUUAACAAACAAGAAAAACAUUUUGGAUUUUGUCCGUUGUAGCACUUAAACUAAAUCUUACCGCCCGUGUUUAACUGGUGAAAUGAAGUCAUAUAGGAAGAAACUAUUCUUGACGUACAGUAUGGAUUAAUUACAAUUUCUCAAUGGAUCAUCUAGACUUAAAAACAAGACAUUCUUCACCUUUGAAGAACACGCAGUUUGUGUUUCGGAGAGAGAAGAAUUUAAACUUCUGGAAACAUGUCACCCCACACUUGGUCCCAUUUGACCACCCCUUUUUCUCACCAAGUCUGCGUAAGGUAGAGGAGACUAUGAAUUAUUUGAAAUAUUGUAGUGGCUGUAAUAUAAAAUUAAAAAAUAUUGAAACAAAUGUAAAAUAUUCAAGUAAAAGUUUUAAAGAUGGCACUGACCUCUUCAAGUGCUUUAACAACCAUACUAUGAAAUACUCCUUUGUGAAUGAAGAAAAACUGAAAAAAUGCCAACUGUCAGGUGUUCCACCUCUUUUGAAUUUAGGUUCAGUUACAUCAAAGUUGCCAAGAACUGUAAAUAAACUGUUUAUUAAAAAGGAAGUUAGUGGUUUUUCCAAGAAAAAGUUACAGUCACUGGAAAAUCAAAAAUGUUGUGCCUUACACAAUUCUAUCAUGUAUCCUAUUAUUAAACUUAGAAGAAUCAAUGACACUGUGGUAUUUUUGAGUAACCUAAAUUUGCGACCUGUUUGGAAGAACAAUGUUCUCUUCAGAUCUCCUGUUAAAGUAAAUAAACUAAGUAAGUUGAGAAACAAAAUAAAACAUUAAGUGUUACUAGUUUAAAUGCACUCACAUUCUGGUGUUCUUAAAUAGGUAAUUUAGAUUAUAGAGAUUCAUAUUAUUUUAAAUAUAAAAUUGUACAUUUGUGUGUAGUUUAAAAAUAUAUUUUUAUAAAUUGAA